CGAAGAUGGCCGCUGAAAGCGAGUGAGUUUGUUGAUGAGAGCGUUGUCCUSUCUGAGAUUGAGGUUCUCCAGUCCAUCUAUCUGGAUGAGCUGCAGAUUAACAGGAGAGAUGCUGGGGGAUGGGAGGUGAG